GCCCCAUAGUCUGGGAUACCACUUGGAAACAGGUGCUAAUACCGGAUAAGAAAGCGGAUCGCAUGAUCAGCUUUUAAAAGGCGGCGUAAGCUGUCGCUAUGGGAUGGCCCCGCGGUGCAUUAGCUAGUUGGUAAGGUAAAGGCUUACCAAGGCGAUGAUGCAUAGCCGAGUUGAGAGACUGAUCGGCCACAUUGGGACUGAGACACGGCCCAAACUCCUACGGGAGGCAGCAGCU
rnacentral:rRNA from 1 species